rnacentral:sRNA from 1 species
AACCCUUUUAGGUAGGAGGUACACAAACACUGCGUAAUACUAAAGAGUGUAUGAAUACAUAAUGUCCCCAUUAGGUAGGUGGUACACAAACACUACGUAAAACUAAAGAGUGUGUAAAGAUAUAACCUCCCUAUUAAAUGGUGCACUGCAACUACGUAAAACUACGUUGCGUAAAAACACAUUCCCUAUUAAAUGAUACGCAAACCCUGCGAAGAAUUGAAGAGAGUGUGUGAAGACACAAUAUCCCCAUUAAGUAGGUGGUACACAAACAUUGCGUAAUACUAAAGAGUGUAUGAAUACAUAAUGUCCCCAUUAGGUAGGAGGUGCAUAAACACUGCGUAAAACUACAGAGUGUGUGAAGAUAUAAUUUCCCUAUUAAAUGGUGCACUAAAUGUACGGAAAACUAAGGAGUGUGUGAAGACACAAAAACCCUUUUAGGUAGGAGGUACACAAACACUGCGUAAAACUAAAGAGUGUGUGAAAAUCUGAAUUCCCUAUUAAAUGGUGCACUAAAUCUAUGUAAAACUACGUUGCGUAAAAACACAUACGCAAACAGUGCGAAGAAUUGAAGAGAGUGUGUGAAGACACAAUAACCCUUUUAGGUAGAAGGUACACAAACACUGCGUAAAACUAAAGUGUGUGUGAAGAUAUGAUUUCCUUAUUAAAUGGUACGCAUAAACUACGUCAAAUUGAAGAGUGUGUGAAGACACAAAAACCCUUUUAGGUAGGAGGUACCCAAACACUGCGUAAAACUAAAGAGUGUGUGAAGAUAAAUCUACGUAAAACUACGUUGCGUAAAAACACAUUUCCUAUUAAAUAAUACGCAAACACUGCGAAGAAUUGAAGAGAGUAUGUGAAGACACAAUAUCCCUACUAAACUAUUAAACUACGACAAAUUAAGAAGCGUGUGAGGACAUAAUGUCCCUUUUAGGUAGGUGGUACACAAACACUACGUAAAACUAAAGAGUGUGUAAAGAUAUAACCUCCCUAUUAAAUGGUGCACUGCAACUACGUAAAACUACGUUGCGUAAAAACACAUUCCCUAUUAAAUGAUACGCAAACACUGCGAAGAAUUGAAGAGAGUGUGUGAAGACACAAAAGCCCUUUUAGGUAGGAGGUACACAAACACUGCGUAAAACUAAAGAGUGUGUGAAGAUAUGAUUUCCCUAUUAAAUGGUGCACUAAAUCUACGUAAAACUACGUUGCGUAAAGACACAUUCCCCAUUAAAUGAUACGCAAACACUGCGAAGAAUUGAAGAGAGUGUGUGAAGACUCAAAAGCCCUUUUAGGUAGGAGGUACACAAACACUGCGUAAUACUAAAGAGUGUAUGAAUACAUAAUGUCCCCAUUAGGUAGGAGGUGCAUAAACACUGCGUAAAACUACAGAGUGUGUGAAUAUAUGAUUUCCCUAUUAAAUAGUGCACUAAAUCUACGUCAAAUUAAGGAGUAUGUGAAGACACAAUUUCCCUAUUAGGUAGGUGGUACACUGUAACUACGUAAACCUAGAGUGUGUGAAGACACAAAAAGCCUUUUAGGUAGGAGGUACACAAACACUGCGUAAUACUAAAGAGUGUAUGAAUACAUAAUGUCCCCAUUAGGUAGCAGGUACAUAAACACUGUGUAAAACUAAAGAGUGUGUGAAGAUAUAAUUUCCCUAUUAAAUGGUGCACAUAGACUACGGUGCACUAAAUCUACGUAAAACUACGUUGCGUGAAAACACAUUCCCUAUUAAAUGAUACGCAAACCCUGCGAAGAAUUGAAGAGAGUGUGUGAAGACACAAAAGCCCUUUUAGGUAGGAGGUACACAAACACUGCGAAAACUAAAGAGUGUGUGAAAAUCUGAUUUCCCUAUUAAAUGGUGCACUAAAUCUACGUAAAACUACGUUGCGUGAAAACACAUUCCCUAUUAAAUGAUACGCAAACCCUGCGAAGAAUUGAAGAGAGUGUGUGAAGACACAAAAGCCCUUUUAGGUAGGAGGUACACAAACACUGCGUAAUACUAAAGAGUGUAUGAAUACAUAAUGUCCCCAUUAGGUAGGAGGUGCAUAAACACUGCGUAAAACUACAGAGUGUGUGAAGAUAUAAUUUCCCUAUUAAAUGGUGCACUAAAUCUACGUAAGACUAAGGAGUGUGUGAAGACACAUUUUCCCUAUUAGGUAGGUGGUACACUGUAACUACGUAAACCUAGAGUGUGUGAAGACACAAUAACCCUUUUAGGUAGGAGGUACCCAAACACUGCGAAAACUAAAGAGUGUGUAAAGAUAUAAUUUCCCUAUUAAAUGGUGUACUAAGACUACGUAAGACUAAGGAGUGUGUGAAGACACAUUUCCCCUAUUAGGUAGGUGGUACACUGUAACUACGUAAACCUAGAGUGUGUGAAGACACAAUAACCCUUUUAGGUAGGAGGUACACAAACACUGCGAAAACUAAAGAGUGUGUGAAGAUAUAAUUUCCCUAUUAAAUGGUGCACUAAAUCUACGUAAAACUACGUUGCGUGAAAACACAUUCCCAUUAAAUGAUACGCAAACCCUGCGAAGAAUUGAAGAGAGUGUGUGAAGACACAAAAGCCCUUUUAGGUAGGAGGUACACAAACACUGCGUAAUACUAAAGAGUGUAUGAAUACAUAAUGUCCCCAUUAGGUAGGAGGUGCAUAAACACUGCGUAAAACUACAGAGUGUGUGAAGAUAUAAUUUCCCUAUUAAAUGGUGCACUAAAUCUACGUAAGACUAAGGAGUGUGUGAAGACACAUUUUCCCUAUUAGGUAGGUGGUACACUGUAACUACGUAAACCUAGAGUGUGUGAAGACACAAAAACCCUUUUAGGUAGGAGGUACCCAAACACUGCGUAAUACUAAAGAGUGUAUGAAUACAUAAUGUCCCCAUUAGGUAGGAGGUGCAUAAACACUGCGUAAAACUCAAGAGUGUGUGAAUAUAUGAUUUCCCUAUUAAAUAGUGCACUAAAUCUACGUAAAACUACGUGCGUAAAAACACAUUCCCCAUUAAAUGAUACGCAAACACUGCGAAGAAUUGAAGAGAGUGUGUGAAGACACAAAAACCCUUUUAGGUAGGAGAUACACAAACACUGCGUAAAACUAAAGAGUGUGUGAAGAUAUGAUUUCCCUAUUAAAUGGUGCACUAAAUCUACGUAAAACUACGUUGCGUAAAGACACAUUCCCUAUUAAAUGAUACGCAAACACUGCGAAGAAUUGAAGAGAGUGUGUGAAGACACAAAAGCCCUUUUAGGUAGGAGGUACACAAACACUGCGAAAACUAAAGAGUGUGUGAAAAUCUGAUUUCCCUAUUAAAUGGUGCACUAAAUCUAUGUAAAACUACGUUGCGUAAAAACACAUUCCCUAUUAAAUGAUACGCAAACAGUGCGAAGAAUUGAAGAGAGUGUGUGAAGACACAAUAACCCUUUUAGGUAGAAGGUACACAAACACUGCGUAAAACUAAAGUGUGUGUGAAGAUAUGAUUUCCUUAUUAAAUGGUACACAUAAACGUCAAAUUAAGGAGUGUGUGAAGACACAAAAACCCUUUUAGGUAGGAGGUACACAAACACUGCGUAAUACUAAAGAGUGUAUGAAUACAUAAUGUCCCCAUUAGGUAGGAGGUGCAUAAACACUGCGUAAAACUCAAGAGUGUGUGAAUAUAUGAUUUCCCUAUUAAAUAGUGCACUAAAUCUACGUAAAACUACGUGCGUAAAAACACAUUCCCCAUUAAAUGAUACGCAAACACUGCGAAGAAUUGAAGAGAGUGUGUGAAGACACAAUAACCCUUUUAGGUAGGAGAUACACAAACACUGCGAAUAACUAAAGAGUGUAUAAAGAUAUAACUUCCCUAUUAAAUGGUACACAUAAACUACGUCAAAUUAAGGAGUGUGUGAAGACACAAUAUCCCUAUUAGGUAGUAGGUACACAAACACUGCGAAUAACUAAAGAGUGUAUAAAGAUAUAACUUCCCUAUUAAAUGGUACACAUAAACUACGUCAAAUUAAGGAGUGUGUGAAGACACAAUAUCCCUAUUAGGUAGUAGGUACACAAACACUGCGAAUAACUAAAGAGUGUAUAAAGAUAUAACUUCCCUAUUAAAUGGUACACAUAAACUACGUCAAAUUAAGGAGUGUGUGAAGACACAAUAACCCUUUUAGGUAGAAGGUACACAAACACUGCGUAAUACUAAAGAGUGUAUGAAUACAUAAUGUCUCCAUUAGGUAGGAGGUGCAUAAACACUGCGUAAAUCUACAGAGUGUGUGAAUAUAUGAUUUCCCUAUUAAAUAGUGCACUAAAUCUACGUAAAACUACGUGCGUAAAAACACAUUCCCCAUUAAAUGAUACGCAAACACUGCGAAGAAUUGAAGAGAGUGUGUGAAGACACAAUAUCCCUAUUAAGUAGGUGGUACACAAACAUUGCGUAAUACUAAAGAGUGUGUGAAUACAUAAUGUCCCCAUUAGGUAGGUGGUACACAAACACUGCGAAUAACUAAAGAGUGUAUAAAGAUAUAACUUCCCUAUUAAAUGGUACACAUAAACUACGUCAAAUUAAGGAGUGUGUGAAGACACAAUAUCCCUAUUAGGUAGUAGGUACACAAACACUGCGUAAAACUAAAGAGUUUGUAAAGAUAUAACUUCCCUAUUAAAUGGUACACAUAAACGUCAAAUUAAGGAGUGUGUGAAGACACAAAAACCCUUUUAGGUAGGAGGUACACAAACACUGCGUAAAACUCAAGAGUGUGUGAAGAUAUGAUUUCCCUAUUAAAUGGUGCACUAAAUCUACGUAAAACUACGUUGCGUGAAAACACAUUCCCUAUUAAAUGAUACGCAAACCCUGCGAAGAAUUGAAGAGAGUGUGUGAAGACACAAUAUCCCCAUUAAGUAGGUGGUACACAAACAUUGCGUAAUACUAAAUAGUGUAUGAAUACAUAAUGUCCCCAUUAGGUAGGAGGUACACAAACACUGCGUAAAACUAAAGAGUGUAUGAAUACAUAAUGUCCCCAUUAGGUAGGAGGUGCAUGAACACUGCGUAAAACUCAAGAGUGUGUGAAGAUAUAAUUUCCCUAUUAAAUAGUGCACUAAAUCUACGGAAAACUAAGGAGUGUGUGAAGACACAAAAACCCUUUUAGGUAGGAGGUACACAAACACUGCGUAAAACUAAAGAGUGUGUGAAGACACAAUAUCCCCAUUAAGUAGGUGGUACACAAACAUUGCGUAAUACUAAAGAGUGUAUGAAUACAUAAUGUCCCCAUUAGGUAGGAGGUGCAUAAACACUGCGUAAAACUACAGAGUGUGUGAAGAUAUAAUUUCCCUAUUAAAUGGUGCACUAAAUGUACGGAAAACUAAGGAGUGUGUGAAGACACAAAAACCCUUUUAGGUAGGAGGUACACAAACACUACGUAAAACUAAAGAGUGUGUGAAGAUAUAAUUUCCCUAUUAAAUGGUGCACUAAAUCUACGUAAAACUACGUUGCGUGAAAACACAUUCCCUAUUAAAUGAUACGCAAACCCUGCGAAGAAUUGAAGAGAGUGUGUGAAGACACAAUAUCCCCAUUAAGUAGGUGGUACACAAACAUUGCGUAAUACUAAAUAGUGUAUGAAUACAUAAUGUCCCCAUUAGGUAGGUGGUACACAAACACUGCGAAUAACUAAAGAGUGUAUAAAGAUAUAACUUCCCUAUUAAAUGGUACACAUAAACUACGUCAAAUUAAGGAGUGUGUGAAGACACAAUAUCCCUAUUAGGUAGUAGGUACACAAACACUGCGUAAAACUAAAGAGUUUGUAAAGAUAUAACUUCCCUAUUAAAUGGUACACAUAAACGUCAAAUUAAGGAGUGUGUGAAGACACAAAAACCCUUUUAGGUAGGAGGUACACAAACACUACGUAAAACUAAAGAGUGUGUGAAGAUAUAAUUUCCCUAUUAAAUGGUGCACUAAAUCUACGUAAAACUACGUUGCGUGAAAACACAUUCCCUAUUAAAUGAUACGCAAACCCUGCGAAGAAUUGAAGAGAGUGUGUGAAGACACAAUAUCCCCAUUAAGUAGGUGGUACACAAACAUUGCGUAAUACUAAAUAGUGUAUGAAUACAUAAUGUCCCCAUUAGGUAGGAGGUGCAUAAACACUGCGUAAAACUACAGAGUGUGUGAAGAUAUAAUUUCCCUAUUAAAUGGUGCACUAAAUGUACGGAAAACUAAGGAGUGUGUGAAGACACAAAAACCCUUUUAGGUAGGAGGUACACAAACACUGCGUAAAACUAAAGAGUGUGUGAAGAUAUAAUUUCCCUAUUAAAUGGUGCACUAAAUCUACG